CACACCGCCCGUCACACCAUGGAAGUCGCUUCAGCCUUAAGCAGGUGAGCCAAUCUGGCAGCCUACCACGGCCGGGGUGAUGACUGGGGUG
rnacentral:rRNA from 1 species